rnacentral:lncRNA from 1 species
GCAAACUGAAAACUACAAGAGGAAGGUGAGUACUUUUCUAAACAGUUCUUCUCCAUGAAUUGGACUAGUUUAUUCCGAUAAUUUCCAAAGUUCCCCCAUUUGGUUCACAUGGAUGGCUGGUCUGAUGCCAUAAAUUAGAUUUACUGCUGCCACUUGUUAAGGUUUCUUUAUCUGGUUAGUACUCCAUGUGAUUGCUCAAAAAACCAUGUAUUCACCGGAUCUUUCUGUAUUGUGCCCUCAUUUGGUCACAUCGUAUUUAUUUGAUACUUUGUACGUUUAGAUACAUAUGGAGAUUAACUUCACUUCAUGACCUGCAUCAUGCAUGGAGAACAACAUGAUUUUCCCCAGAUAAUUUCAUUCCAAAUGCAUAUUGUUUCCUUGAGAGGUUUUCCCAAUGAAAAUCAGGCUCUGGCACUUAGACAAGCAACAAAAGAGCACUCCCAUAUAUCUCGUCCGUCUGUAGACUCUAACAUGUAUUUUAUAUGUAACCUCUGGCUCUUGUCAUUCGGUGCGUGCUGGUGCACAAUCAUCAGACCUUGGAGCUUGUUCCAUUCGUGUACUAACCAUACUUGCUUUUGCUCCUGAAAUCCACCCCCCCCCCCCCCCCAUACGCAACACACUCCCCUCUCCCACAGCCUCCAUCCCGACACACUCCCCCCUCCCCUCCCCUUAUCAGAAGAGAAGAGGAGGUUUCUAAAGUCAGGUUUCUAUAAAUUUUAGUAAUUACACCUACUGCUCAAUAUUUUACAAUGUAAUAAAUCAUUGAUGCAUGAUAGAUUUUGUUGAUCAAGAUCGCCUUACGUAAUUUGCUUAGUGGAUCUAUUACGUUGACUUGCGUCAUUAUUGGUUUGAGUUUUCUAAAAAGUAUUUUCAUUAAACGGUUUCACAUUUCUAUUAAACCAUGUAACCUAUGAACUAGAUACAUUAUCUGAUAAAAUCUUUAGGUGAAAAGAAUAACCAAAAUAUUGUGUAUACCACCACCAUGUGAGAAGAGAAGAUAGACAAGCAUUGCGUAUUACUAGUCAAUGUACAAAGCUAUAUAGCGAUGUACUUAUGCUUGUUACUAGCAAUAUACAUAGCAUUAUUUUUUUAGGCCUCCCAGUGAGCAGGUGCUAGUAAUCGAUGGCGGCAACGAAAUUGGUAAGAUCCCACUCUCUCACUUGGCCUCUCCCUCCCCUCCACCUCUCUUUAUGUGUGUGCAGUCCACAGGUUUGAACUAUGCAGUAAGUUUUAUAAUAUCUUUAAAAAAUGUGUGCUGCUUUAAUUCAUGGAAAUAGAGAAGCUCUUGAAGAAGUAAUGUCCUUUAUGUGCAGCAGUUAAUUAAGCUUCAUUAUUGUUUUGUAGUUUUGUGAAAAGUACUUUCAUGAACUGGUUACACAUGUUUUUUAUUUUGAUAGCAGGCUUGACAGAAAGUUUUAUUUUCUGUUGUUUAUCAGUGAAUGGUUGGUGAAGUAACGAUUGAAGGAGAUAUUAAAUUGUUCUUUGUGAUAUCAAGUGGCCUGCCUACAAUAAAGGACCAUGAGCAUGUCACUGAUAUGCAAAUACUUUCACUGCUACCUCUUAUUAAUCAUCUGAUUUCUUACUUCUUCCAUUUAUGCAGGAAUGACGUGAAGAGAGUCCUCCCCGUUCUUAAUCAUCUGAUUUCUUACACCUUUCAUUUAUCUCUGCAUAUAGCGAGAGAAGUUACAUGAAACACAAAAGAGGGGAGCUAAAGGUACACCUCUUCCCAUCGGUGAUAAUGAAUUCUCUUUAGUUGCUUUGGUAUGAAAUGAUAUUGAAGGCAGCUUAGAGAAAUUACCAUGUACUCUAGUUAUCGUGCGGAAAUAUUAACCAUGGAGUUUGACUCGUAGAUUUUCAAAGUGGAGUAUGUUCUGCAAUGAGAUGUAGAAGGAAGACUUUGAUUUCAAGUUCUAGAUGAACACAAGAAUCUUGGUGGAAGGCUGUGAGCGUCUGUAUGUAGUUGCCCACUACAAGGAGACAAGGCAAAUGAUGUGCCUCUUUAAGACAAAUUCUAGAAAAUAAAGCGAGUAAUUUUUGCUCUUAGGAAAUGAACCAUAAUGUUUCCUCUACUUAAUUAGUUCCAUUAGUUUAUAGGAAAUUUUGAUGGUCAUUAGUUCAUAACAGAUGAUGUAUUUAUAUGGGAAAAUUAAUGAAUGUGCGUUAUUAUUGUUUCCAUCCGGUUCAAUAUAUUUUUGAUGACAUGCACAUUACUGUUAUGAAUUCUGUAAUUUG